rnacentral:rRNA from 1 species
AUUGAACGCUGGCGGCAUGCUUUACACAUGCAAGUCGAACGGCAGCACGGGGGCAACCCUGGUGGCGAGUGCGAACGGGUGAGUAAUAUAUCGGAACGUACCCGGAAAUGGGGGAUAACGUAGCGAAAGGUUACGCUAAUACCGCAUAUGCCCUAAGGGGAAAGCGGGGAUUCGCAAGAACCUCGCGUUUUCGGAGCGGCCGAUAUCGGAUUAGCUAGUAGGUGAGGUAAAGGCUCACCUAGGCGACGAUCCGUAGCUGGUCGUGAGAGGACGACCAGCCACACUGGAACUGAGACACGGUCCAGGACUCCUACGGGAGGCAGC